UGUGGCUAAGUGUUUUAUCAACAGCCAGUGAGUCAGAAAAGGAUUAACUCCAUGGCUGGUUGACUAGAAGGAAUCUGCCUGUAAGUUAGUAGAGGUUUUUUCCACAAUGCAUUCAGCAGGAAAAAAUAGCAGAACUCUCUACCAGGGCCUGUUGUUGACAAGUUUAUGAGACGGAGUGAAGGGUGGCUUACAAACACACUGAUAAAAACACUGAGGGCUGGCAAAGAGCCCCUGUAUGCAUGUGAGUGUCCCAUCCAGGGUGCAGUCUCACCUUGUACUCCCUGCCCAUGACCCUCUGAGGAUAAAGCAGAACACCACCCCUGGAUGCCAAUUAAACAGUACAGAUGUUGAAAAUGGAACCUUGUUAUAUGGACUGACACUGGAAUACCAUGAUGUGAGGUACAGUACAUGAAGGUCUGAGGCUGACCUUGGACAGUAAGAGAAGUCAUACGGUAUGUGCCUGGAUGUUAUUCUUGCUAUGUUGAUGAUGACUAUGAAAUACAAGCUUUCCUUUCUUGAUGGCUCCUUUAUAA
rnacentral:lncRNA from 1 species